GAAUCUUCUGAAAUGUCUGCCGAAUGCCUGACACUGAAGUGAUAUAAGACCUGCAUUAGAAGAGCUUCAUCUGAGUGUAAUAUGCUGCCCUGGGAGGGUGAGUGCUCAAUGAGACCCGGCAUACAGCAUCAACAGCACCUUUUUGGCUCAAUCAUAAGCAUUCAUGCUUGAAGAGGCUGAGUAUGCAAAUGUCAUUGGAAAAAGAAGAGAGACAAGAAACACUGAAGACAACCAUGAGAUACUAAGAACGAGUUAAAAGAGAUAAAAGCGUGCAAAUGCCAAACAGAAGCUGAAAUAUUGAAGGAUUCUGAAGGAUUAAGGUCUUCAUGUGUGGUGCAAACAUUUGAAGCAAAUGCAACAGAAUUGCCCCGAGUCUGCUCAAGAGCCCAUCGCUGCUUCCUAUGUGGUCACACUACAAAGUCAAACUAAUAAUAAUGUAUGGUUGGUUACCCUUCUGAAAAUAACUGCAAGUAUUGAGUGCUGUCAUCAUGGAGAACCCAGACCUCCUGAAGUAAGAGGGAAAAUUGAAUUGACUCGCAGGAGGCCAGAAUGCCACCCACAGAGGUGCUUGAUUGCCAGAAAAUGCUGAGUUCCUGCUACCUGGAAUCAUUGGUGUCUGAUAUCCAGCAUCGUACUGAAAGACUGUGGCAAACCUGCAGAUCAGAGACAUAUGCAAUACAUUUUCUAACUACUUUGCGUGUUCUCAAGAGUAGUCUUGGUGUAAUAGAUAUCGCGGUGGUCAAAAGAGGAUGAAACACAAUCCAGGAAGGCUGACAUUCAGCAAAAUAUUGGGUGAGAACCUGGAAACCCACUGGUCAUCAUGGACUUUGACACAGAGAGGAAAUCUGUCUGAAAUUUAUUUGAGAGAUUUAUUUAAUUUAUCUAUUGUAGGAUAUACCUUUCUACUUCCGCUGCUAAUACAGAUCCUCUUAACACAUACAGAUCUCUUCAGUAGAUCUCCAUUUGAAUUAAUGCCUAUUUUUA
rnacentral:lncRNA from 1 species